rnacentral:rRNA from 1 species
GACGAGGGAUCCUAGCGUUGUUCGGAAUUACUGGGCGUAAAGCGCGCGCAGGCGGCUAUCCAAGUCAGUGGUGAAAGCCCGGAGCUCAACUCCGGAACUGCCAUUGAAACUGUUUAGCUUGAGGAUGAGAGAGGUGAGUGGAAUUCCCAGUGUAGAGGUGAAAUUCGUAGAUAUUGGGAAGAACACCGGUGGCGAAGGCGGCUCACUGGCUCAUUACUGACGCUCAGGCGCGAUAGCGUGGGGAUCAAACAGG